CCUACGGGAGGCAGCAGUGAGGAAUUUUGCGCAAUAGGGGAAACCCUGACGCAGCAACGCCGCGUGAGUGAAGAAGGCCCUCGGGUCGUAAAGCUCUGUCAAGUGGGAAAAAAGCUUACUGGUAAAUAGCCAGCAAGACUGAUGGUACCAUUGAAGGAAGCACCGGCUAACUCCGUGCCAGCAGCCGCGGUAAU
rnacentral:rRNA from 1 species